rnacentral:rRNA from 1 species
GACGAACGCUGGCGGCGCGCUUAAUACAUGCAAGUCGAGCGAGAACCAGGGCUUCGGCUCUGGGUACAGCGGCGAACGGGUGAGUAACACGUGGGUAAUCAACCCCCGACACCGGGAUAGCCCAGGGAAACUUGGAUUAAUACCGGAUGCCCCGUCUGGCCUUCGGGCCGGCCGGAAAAGGGUAGCUUCGGCCUCUGGUCGGGGACGAGCCCGCGGCGGAUUAGCUUGUUGGUGAGGUAAAGGCUCACCAAGGCGACGAUCCAUAGCUGGUCUGAGAGGACGAUCAGCCACACGGGGACGGAGACACGGCCCAGACUCCUGCGGGAGGCAGCAGUAGGGAAUCUUGCGCAAUGGGCGAAAGCCUGACGCAGCGACGCCGCGUGAGGGAAGAAGGCCUUCGGGUUGUAAACCUCUUUCAGGAGGGACGAAGCCACUCGGGUUAAUAGCCUAGAGGGUGACGGUACCUCCAGAAGAAGCCCCGGCUAACUACGUGCCAGCCGCCGCAGUAA